rnacentral:lncRNA from 10 species
AGCCUAUUGAAUAUGGUUCCAUUCACCCCACCUUGCCUUAAUGCUACUUUAUUUUUUCUCCAGAACAUUUAUCACUCUCUAACAUGUAAUGUUAUUAAUAUAUUUGCUUAUUUUGUACAUAUGUUUAUUGUCUGACUUUCUUCCAUAUAGCCAGGGGUUUGGGUCUGUUUUCUUUCAUUGAUCUAUCCCAAAUGUCUGGACUAGAGCCCAGCACAUAGUAAAUACUCAGUUAAAAUCUGUUGACCAAAUGGACAUUGUUUAAUGAAGCCUGGGUUUGUACUAUAUAGUAUGACCAAUGAAUAACAAAAUAACGGCAAUGCUGAUUUCACUAGAGGGAAAAAAUCAUCAAGGUAAUUGUAAAAAACAUAAUUAUAGAAAAUAUACCAUCAUGAUGAUAACAAUUCAUGCUUUGCAAAAUCACCGCUAUAUAUGUAUUCUUUUAAAGAUACAUCAAUUACAUUGAGUAGUACCUACUAUGUAGAAAGAAAAUAUCUAAGGAAAUUUAAGCUCUGAAGAAAAUACUGUCAGUUCUAUGUUAUAUUAACUUUAAAAACUAGUGUGUAAUCAUGGUGAUGGCAGGCUUUGCUUUCACAUCAGAGGUGGUACAUGUUCUGAGAAAGUCUGUGAUGUAUUCAUGGGUUUGGGUUCAUAAAUAUCCCUGGGAAACUGCUUACAGUUUAGUGCUUGUGUAGUUUUAACUUGGAAAUUAACUUUCUAUUUAUGGAAAUAACUUAAGUAAUUUCUAUUAUAUUUGUUAAUGUUUUCUGCUUGUUAUUAUUAAGCCGUAAGUUGAGAGAAGAACCAGCUGUUGCUUCAUGUAAGUAUUUUAUAUAAAUACUACAUUUAUGAAAGAUGGUCUUAGGACUACUGACAUCCUGAAUACAUUAGAUAACAGUAUUAUAAAACUAGAAAUAAGAUUUCAUUAUAAAAUUUCUUAUUUUGUAUACAAAUUGUUUUUUAAUUCAUUAAUAUGAUCAACUCUGACAUGAAAAACUCCUUCCUUCUAUCUAUUGUUCUAUUUAGUUUUCUAUCCCUGGCAUUGUCACUCUAAAAUAUGACUUGGAGAGGACUGACUAUAAGGGCAUCUUGGGCAUUGGCAAAUAUUAAUUCCAGCUACUUUUGAUAGUUUUUGACAUUUCUUUGUUCAUGAAAGGGCAAAUUUGUUCAUAUCAGUAUGUUUUAAAAACAACACAACUGUACUUGAGGUUACAAAGAUGAAGAACAGAAGUACAAAGUAAUUUGCGGUAUGCUGAAAAAAUAGGAUUUAUUUCUCUUCUGUGCCAAUGUUCUUAGUCUUGAGCAAAUUUGGCUCUGAAGGAAUCAGACAGCUGCUACAACCGUGAUUCUGUUGGGCUUCCUGGUAGAGCUGGAGACAGACUGCAACCCAAGACAAAACCCAGAGGAAAAACAACUAACCUCAGCCAUUUGCCCAAUUUCCACCUUGCUAGUUAUCAGAGUUCACUAUUGUUUAAGCUCCAGGGGUCAUACUAUGGCAAUCUACUGGUGGAAUUUAUUCUGAGCAAGUGUUUUGUUCAGCUUGCAGUAUUAAAACAAAAAAGUAAGUAACUAACAUUUAAAACUUAGGGAGAUUUCAUACAAUAAAAUUCCCUUUGUCCAGUUUUUAUUAAAAACUGAAAAUCUGGCAAACGGAAGUUAAGCAUUCUCCCUUCACAAAUGCUUAGGGCUGAAGAAAGACUACCUUUAUACGUGUGGAAUGAGCUCUCCAGUUCCCAAAGUCUCUACCCAGCUGGCUGUAUCCAUGGAGGCUACUUGCCUAUUCCUUUGUGUCCUUGUAUGUUCCUUUUCUGGACCCCUGCUCCGUCCACACAGAGAUGGAAGACCCAGAGGUGAGAGCAGAGUGACAAUGAUGACUCACUCACUUCUCUCCCCGCAAACAAGGGUAAAUAGCUGAUGGCUACAUAUUCCUCCUCUAAUGGGGUUCUGACAGUCCUGGGUGAGAUCAUGUGUAUUCUUUAUCUGAAGGGUGGUCCUUGACACAAGAAUCAAGUUCUACUUAAGGAAGUAUAUCACAUUAAAUGUUAUUAUUACACUCUUAUCUAGAGAACAUUGCCUCCAGCUGCAAAGCAAGGGCAUUGCCAUUAUGAAAGCCCCUCAAAGACUCUCUGCUAUUUUCAAAACAUGGAAAGAAAAAGGGAAAAAAGAAAAAAAAAUAAUAAUUAGAAGGAUUUGUUCCUUAAUUUGGGCUCCCAAAAAUGAGAAAUGAAGAUUGUAUAAUGAGGGGAGAUACUAAUUAUUUUAAACUCUCCAAGCAAAUCUUCUGAAGCAAUCAAUUAUUUAUAUACUUUAUGUUCUGUCUUUUUGUAUUUUUCCUUCUGGUUAAAAACAUGCAGGUGAGUCUUGCCAACGUCCUUUCCUAUCUGGAUCUGUUCUGCCUCAUUUCUCUUUCAAAGUCAUCUUUCAGGGAACUUGCCCUGAUUAAUUUGAUUUUAACCAAACAAAUAAGAUAUUUGAUAUAUUAAUUUAAACUUUUUGAGAUGAUUGAUUAGGAAUUGCAUCAUGUUCACAUGAGUAUACCGAAUUCAAAGUUAAACUUCAUAAGCAGGAGUUUUUACACAUCGUAACAUAAUCAUUACCCAAUACUCGACACUCAAUAUUUGAUACUCAACUGAAUGUUUUUGAAAUAAACA